UGGUGGAUCCAGCUGGACUCGAACCAGCGACCACUCGGUUAUGAGCCGAGUGCUCUGACCAAACUGAGCUAUGGAUCC
rnacentral:tRNA from 1 species